rnacentral:sRNA from 1 species
GCAUGAUUUUUGAUUCUUAGAGACUUCGCUUCACUCUGUCUCAUUAGCUUUCCCACCUAGAAAGCAAGUUUUCACGAAGCCGACGAUUGUUUCGGCGCCAGCGCUGCAGGCCCCGCCACUAUUUCGAGUCUACGCCGACUCAUAGCAGGACGCCGCCGAGGAUCCUCAUUUAAUUACGCUGGCCCCGCGUGAAAUAGCGAUAUGAUCAGGUUUGCUGUGGCGGAAAGGGAAAAAAAAUGAAUAGUAACUACUCUGUACUGUUUACCGCAGAAACAAAGGAGAAUACUACCAUGAAAUGGAUCUUUGCUUGGAUUAUGCAGAUAGAUAUAUAGCUAUGAUUUCCCUUGGAAUAAAUCAAGUAUUUAACCAAAAAAAAUAAAAUAAAAUAAAAAGGGAGAAAAAGGAAAAAGGAUAAAGGAAAAAGGCCCCCAUAAUCCACCAAAGUUCACAGUCUACAGAACACUGCUGUUGCUGAUGAUAGCCCACCAUACUGCCGUGUAUACAGGCAUAUCCGGCUCACUGUCUCCUGAUCUCCCUGAAAUCAAGCAAGGAAUCUCCCUAGUCUCCAUCCUGCGACCCGGGUAUCCUGGAUAAGCAGGCCUGGGGGAGAAAACGAGAAUGCGGAGGAAAUACGGCGUUGCAAAACUUCAUUACUGAGUAGAGAGGUCACCAAUCUAUGUAUUGUCCAGUUCUUUUUCUCUUCCCCUUCCUGCACUGUGCUCAUGUUGCUUACACCAUUCAGGACAUUCAAAAAUGCCGCGCUUUUGAAACCAAUAUCAAACACUUCACUGUUGCAUCUCUUUCUCCUUGCCUUUUUCUCUUUCUUUCUUUCUUUCCUUUUUUCUAAAAACAUUUAUUUCCUCUCUUUGUCACCAUCUUCUCUAUUUCGUCCAUUGCAUGAAUUAAAACUAUUGCUUAAACUAAUAUAUAUGCAU